rnacentral:rRNA from 1 species
GAUGAACGCUGGCGGCGUGCCUAAUACAUGCAAGUCGAGCGAACAGACGAGGAGCUUGCUCCUCUGACGUUAGCGGCGGACGGGUGAGUAACACGUGGAUAACCUACCUAUAAGACUGGGAUAACUUCGGGAAACCGGAGCUAAUACCGGAUAAUAUAUUGAACCGCAUGGUUCAAUAGUGAAAGACGGCUUUGCUGUCAUUUAUAGAUGGAUCCGCGCCGCAUUAGCUAGUUGGUAAGGUAACGGCUUACCAAGGCGACGAUGCGUAGCCGACCUGAGAGGGUGAUCGGCCACACUGGAACUGAGACACGAUCCAGACUCCUACGGGAGGCAGCAGUAGGGAAUCUUCCGCAAUGGGCGAAAGCCUGACGGAGCAACGCCGCGUGAGUGAUGAAGGUCUUCGGAUCGUAAAGCUCUGAUAUUAGGGAAGAACAAAUGUGUAAGUAACUAUGCACGUCUUGACGGUACCUAAUCAGAAAGCCACGGCUAACUACGUG